UACGUAGGGGGCAAGCGUUGUCCGGAUUUAUUGGGCGUAAAGAGCGUGUAGGCGGCCUGACAGGUCUGCUGUGAAAACUCGAGGCUCAACCUCGAGAUGUCGGCGGAAACCGUCUGGCUAGAGUCCGGAAGAGGAGAGUGGAAUUCCUGGUGUAGCGGUGAAAUGCGCAGAUAUCAGGAAGAACACCGAUGGCGAAGGCAGCUCCCUGGGACGGUACUGACGCUCAGACGCGAAAGCGUGGGGAGCGAACAGG
rnacentral:rRNA from 1 species